rnacentral:rRNA from 1 species
GAUGAACGCUGGCGGCGUGCCUAAUACAUGCAAGUCGAGCGAACAGAUGAGGAGCUUGCUCCUCUGACGUUAGCGGCGGACGGGUGAGUAACACGUGGAUAACCUACCUAUAAGACUGGGAUAACUUCGGGAAACCGGAGCUAAUACCGGAUAAUAUAUUGAACCGCAUGGUUCAAUAGUGAAAGACGGUUUUGCUGUCACUUAUAGAUGGAUCCGCGCCGCAUUAGCUAGUUGGUAAGGUAACGGCUUACCAAGGCAACGAUGCGUAGCCGACCUGAGAGGGGGAUCGGCCACACUGGAACUGAGACACGGUCCAGACUCCUACGGGAGGCAGCAGUAGGGAAUCUUCCGCAAUGGGCGAAAGCCUGACGGAGCAACGCCGCGUGAGUGAUGAAGGUCGUCGGAUCGUAAAACUCUGUUAUUAGGGAAGAACAAAUGUGUAAGUAACUAUGCACGUCUUGACGGUACCUAAUCAGAAAGCCACGGCUAACUACGUG